CGGCGAUUGGCCGGCCGAACGCGCCGCGUCACAAUGGAGCCGCUCGGAGGCGGCGAGCCGGGCAGCGCUGGGGCUUCCCGCUGAGCCCGCAGCCGCCGGCAGCCGCGAAAGUGCGGGCGCGGGGCCGCCGCCGGCGCGCCCGGAGCGGCGCGGGGCGCACGCCGGGGAGCGCGGGCCCCCGGGGCUGCGGACGCGCAGCAUGAAUCUUGAUUGGGAAGACAGGCGUUGCAUCAAAAUGUGGAGGUUACUUGCACAAGUUAACUUUUUCUAAAUGUUGCAUCACUGUGUACUGGUUGGCUUCCAAAUACUUUGUCUUCCCUAUGGGCCAUAUAUUAGAUAAUCAAGGAAUUUUUCAAAUAGAAACUAAUUGCAGAGUUUCCGGUUGACCAGCAUUCAUAGGGUAGCAUUUGAAUGCAUAGAAUUGGUUUGCCAUGUCUCCAUAAGUAAAAGAUGGCCGUGGUUUCCUAGAGUAGUCCAUCCUGCAAGUCUCUGUGCGUAGCUCAGUGACUCACUGUCCUACUGCCUCACAUGCCUCCAUCUCGGAGGGGUCCACGUGGAGAUGGUGGCGGUUGCUUUGUAGUCAGUGGAGGUGGCGAGCA
rnacentral:lncRNA from 1 species